UGGGGAAUUUUGGACAAUGGGCGCAAGCCUGAUCCAGCCAUGCCGCGUGCGGGAAGAAGGCCUUCGGGUUGUAAACCGCUUUUGUCAGGGAAGAAAUCUUCUGAGUUAAUACCUCGGGAGGAUGACGGUACCUGAAGAAUAAGCACCGGCUAACUACGUGCCAGCAGCCGCGGUAAUACGUAGGGUGCAAGCGUUAAUCGGAAUUACUGGGCGUAAAGCGUGCGCAGGCGGUUUUGUAAGACAGAGGUGAAAUCCCCGGGCUCAACCUGGGAACUGCCUUUGUGACUGCAAGGCUUGAGUGCGGCAGAGGGGGAUGGAAUUCCGCGUGUAGCAGUGAAAUGCGUAGAUAUGCGGAGGAACACCGAUGGCGAAGGCAAUCCCCUGGGCCUGCACUGACGCUCAUGCACGAAAGCGUGGGGAGCAAACAGGAUUAGAUACCCUGGUAGUCCACGCCCUAAAACCGAUGUCAACUGGUUGUUGGGAAGGUUCCUUCUCAGUAACGUAGCUAACGCGUGAAGUUGACCGCCUGGGGAGUACGGCCGCAAGGUUGAAACUAAAUGAAUUGA
rnacentral:rRNA from 1 species